CGGUCUGUAGUUCACUGGGAGAACGCUCAUAGCGUGAGUGGUUGGCAAGGUGAGGGAUAGCAACCCAAAACCAUCUCCAACCGGUUUGCAAGCCGAUGCGGGUUCAAAUCCCGUCAGACUGU
rnacentral:tRNA from 1 species